CCGAGUCGCCGACGCGAGCUGUUGCUGGCUUCCAAACCGGGAGCACGUGCACGUUCCGUCUACGCAUCCACUCACACCUGUGCACCCUUUGCGGUUCUGUGGUCUGGGGGACCGCGAGGUCUCCCUUCCGUGGUUCUGCGUCUUUACACACACGCCGUAGCAAAGUCUUUUGGAAUGUGCGCCGCGUUUAACGCAAUAAAAUA
rnacentral:misc_RNA from 2 species